UACGUAGGGAGCAAGCGUUGUCCGGAAUCAUUGGGCGUAAAGCGCGUGUAGGCGGCUUGGUAAGUCUGGUGUGAAACCUCGGGGCUCAACCCCGAGCCUGCACUGGAUACUGCCUCGCUUGAGUCCGGGAGGGGAGAGCGGAAUUCCUAGUGUAGCGGUGAAAUGCGCAGAUAGUCAGGAAGAACACCCGUGGCUAAGGCGGUUCUCUAGUACGGUACUGACGCUGAGACGCGAAAGCGUGGGGAGCGAACAGG
rnacentral:rRNA from 1 species